CUCGUUGGGAGCCAUGGGUGUGCACGUGCGCGGGGCAUGAUCACGCUGCGCCACGCUGUGAUGCAUGAUCCAUCAUGCACCAGGUGUGUAUCAGCUGUAGGCUGAUUUGGACUGUAAUGCCCUGAGAUGAACACACUCCAAAACAUGCCUAAACCAUGAAUCUGACCAGGGCACCAAAUCAUUCUCUCCACCAAGUGCCUACGUGCUGAGUGUCACUGCAUCACCAGGAGAGAGAAAAAAACACACACCAAACACAACCACUUCUGCAUUCCUCUCUCAUAUUAAACUUAUUCUUCUCUUUU